AAUGGCAUAUGAUGAAUAAUUCAUUUACGCUUAUUGAUAUACUGAUAUUCUGUGCUGACACAAACUCCGCUUAUUAUCUGAUGCCAUU